rnacentral:rRNA from 1 species
UACGUAGGGGGCAAGCGUUGUCCGGAUUUAUUGGGCGUAAAGAGCGUGUAGGCGGUUUGGUAGGUCCGUUGUGAAAACUCGAGGCUCAACCUCGAGACGCCGAUGGAAACCAUCAGACUAGAGUCCGGAAGAGGAGAGUGGAAUUCCUGGUGUAGCGGUGAAAUGCGCAGAUAUCGGGAGGAACACCAGUGGCGAAGGCGAUCACCUGGGGUUGUUCUGACGCUGAGGAGCGAAAGCUAGGGGAGCAAACGGG